UCACGUUAACUUUUUUCUGGAAGACAGCUUUACAAGAAUCUAGACGGACCAAAUUCCAGGCUCCAGAACAUUCCAGCAACCAGCUUAGCAGACCAUACAUUCUACAGGAGCUGAGAACUGAUAAGUCUCUUCUUCACCGUGAUUUGAAACUUUCCAGUCUCAGAAAAGUUGACCAAGGGACUGCACAGGACUGAGUCCAUAUGGAAGAAGAAGUACCUGGUUUCUAUGGAGAAAGUGGCAAGUCAGUACAGGCUACCCUGUCGUCGUUGAAGAUGUUAGAUGUGGGAAAGUGGCCAAUCUUCUCCCUUUGUUCUGAGGAAGAGCUGCAGUUGAUUCGCCAGGCUUGUGUCUUCGGCACGGCUGGCAAUGAAGUUUUAUACACUACGGUCAACGAUGAGGUAAUUUUGAAGAAAAAAUUCAACCACCCAUGUUUUUAGUAACGGGUUUGUAAAUUGAAGACAUCAGGGGAACUAAGGAAUAAAGCCUUUAAACAAAUGUGGAAAGUUAUUUUUUUACUUAUUGUGUGCUGAGGCAGUUUGCUUUAGGAAGGUUGAGGUAAUUUAUAGAAUUUUCAGAAAUAUAGCUCCUUGAACUGUUUUUUCCCCGCAGAUUUUUGUUCUUGGCACAAACUGCAGUGGCUGUCUGGGGGUAGGUGACAUUCAGAGCACUAUUGAGCCUCGGAGACUGGAUUCUUUAACUGGCAAAAAAAUAGCCCCAAAGUAGCAGGGUAAGGUUUAAAACACACGGGGUCUGAGCGCAUGGAAGACGAUGCACUCAGCCCUUCUGUGCUCGGUAAGUGUGAGUAUUGUGUGAGAUCUCUCCUGACGUCUGUGCUCGGUAAGUGUGAGUAUUGUGUGAGAUCUCUCCUGACUUCGGAGCUUAGGAAGCCUACACUUUGAACUUAGAUUCCUGGGCUGUGAAUUGAGAGACCAAAUGUUGACUUUGCCAUCCCUUUAAAUCUUAGCAGUCCGUGAUUCUUUCAGUAAGUAGUGGCUGAUAGAAGUUUGCCCUAGUCGUAUAGAGAAAACAGUCUCUUGGCUACAUCACUAGAAGUAAAUUAUGCCCUUGAAGUGUACGACGUUUAAAUUUGGGAGGGGAUUCCAGUAUAGAACAGAUCAUGCAGACCAUUUCUUAAUU
rnacentral:lncRNA from 1 species